rnacentral:lncRNA from 1 species
UUUUUUUUUUUUUUUCUUUCAGUAAGUGGAAAAGCAAAGAAUUUGAAAGUGUUUUGGGAAAUCUGAACACCAGUUGAAUCUUGGUAAUGUUUAGGGGGUAUUAUUAAUUUUUAGGUGGAAUAAUGAUAAUGUGGCUAAGUUUGACAAGAAUCUAUUCUUUGGGGAUAAAAAACACCAUUACAUGUUCCUUUACCCAAGGUUGAAAACAUUUGGGAACUUGAUUUCCAACAUCAAAAUCCAGAUCAAAACCCAUUCAACAAUCCCAUGAUCCCCUUGCAACAACCCUUUCCUGGCCAGUAUCACAGGGUGCCGACCCUCACAGGGUCUCACAAUUCAACAAUUCAGUGAGAGAGGAUGCAGCAACAAAGACUGUAACGAAAAAACAAGAGAGUCUAGGGUCUCACAUCAACAAUUCAGUGAAAGAGGAUGCAGCAACAAAGACUGUAAGGGAAAAACAGGAGAGUCUACAGCUGAAGCUACUGCUACUCAAGGUGGGCAGAGAACGGAAGAGACGGAUUCUGUUGGAAACUAAGAGGGGAAAUCCAGGAAGGCUUCCUGGUGGAGCUGAUCUUUAAGCUGAACCUUGAAGGACUGGUAAGAUGAACGGAUGUUCUGGAACCUGAGAAACACCCAAGUACCAGAGAGACAGCAUCCAUGUGUGAACUACUCUAGACAGAGGCAACAGGCGUGGUCGAUGGACGUGGCCACACUGCCCUCCAGUGGCCAGCUCGCCGAACAACACGUCUGGGCCCCUUUUGGGGGUCUGGGUGACGUGUCCACCCUCUCUCUGCCCUUUGCUACAUUUGAAGGUGGGGUUUGCUCAUCCAUGGUUCCUCUUACAGGUCACCAAAGCUGCCACAGUGCACACUCACCCAACAGCAGGGGAUUUGCCGCCUUCGGUGGUUCUCAAACUUCAGUGUGCACAGGAAUCCCCCCUUGGACAGUUCUUUCAAACCCGGAUUGCUGGGUCCCCCAACCAAGUCAGAGAAUUUGCAUUUCUAACAAAUCCUCAGGCGAUGCUGAGCUGCUGGUCCGCUGGUCCUGGAGCCACACUUAGAGAACCACUGGCUCGGCUCACUCU